rnacentral:rRNA from 1 species
AUUGAACGCUGGCGGAAUGCUUUACACAUGCAAGUCGAACGGCAGCACGGGUGCUUGCACCUGGUGGCGAGUGGCGAACGGGUGAGUAAUGUAUCGGAACGUAUCCAAUAUGGGGGAUAACUAAUCGAAAGGUUGGCUAAUACCGCAUACGCCCUACGGGGGAAAGCAGGGGAUCUUCGGACCUUGCGUUAAUGGAGCGGCCGAUAUCUGAUUAGCUAGUUGGUGUGGUAAAGGCUCACCAAGGCGACGAUCAGUAGCUGGUCUGAGAGGACGACCAGCCACACUGGAACUGAGACACGGUCCAGACUCCUACGGGAGGCAGCAGUGGGGAAUUUUGGACAAUGGGGGCAACCCUGAUCCAGCCAUUCCGCGUGAGUGAAGAAGGCCUUCGGGUUGUAAAGCUCUUUCGCAAGGGAAGAAACGAUACAGUCUAAUAAACUGUGUUAAUGACGGUACCUUGAUAAGAAGCACCGGCUAACUACGUGCCAGCAGCCGCCGUAA